GGUGUUGUGGCUCAGCGAUAGAGCACUCACCUUGCAUGUGUGAGAUACUGGGUUCGAUCCUAAGCACCA
rnacentral:tRNA from 1 species